rnacentral:rRNA from 1 species
GGGGGGGGUGUCGGAUUACUGGGCGUAAGAGCGCGUAGGCGGUUCGAUUAGUCGGAGGUGAAAUCCCUCGGCUUAACCGAGGACCCGCGUCCGAUACUGUCGAACUUGAGUGCAGGAGAGGAGAGCGGAAUUCCCAGUGUAGCGGUGAAAUGCGUAGAUAUUGGGAGGAACACCGGUGGCGAAGGCGGCUCUCUGGACUGUCACUGACGCUGAGGCGCGAAAGCUAGGGGAGCAAACGGGAUUAGAUACCCCGGUAGUCCUAGCCGUAAACGAUGGGCACUAGGUGUGGGAGGUAUCGACCCCUUCCGUGCCGCAGCUAACGCAUUAAGUGCCCCGCCUGGGGAGUACGGCCGCAAGGUUGAAACUCAAAGGAAUUGACGGGGGCCCGCACAAGCGGUGGAGCAUGUGGUUUAAUUCGACGCAACGCGAAGAACCUUACCAGGGCUUGACAUCCCGCGAAUCCCUUCGAAAGAAGGGAGUGCCCGCAAGGGAGCGCGGAGACAGGUGGUGCACGGCUGUCGUCAGCUCGUGUCGUGAGAUGUUGGGUUAAGUCCCGCAACGAGCGCAACCCUCACCUCUUGUUGCCACCAGGUCAUGCUGGGCACUCUAGAGGAACUGCCCCGGUCAACGGGGAGGAAGGCGGGGAUGACGUCAAGUCAUCAUGCCCCUUACGUCCUGGGCUACACACGUGCUACAAUGGCCGGUACAAAGGGAUGCCACACCGCGAGGUAGAGCUAAACCCAAAAAGCCGGUCUAAGUUCAGAUUGGAGUCUGCAACUCGACUCCAUGAAGGAGGAAUCGCUAGUAAUCGCGUAUCAGCACGACGCGGUGAAUACGUUCCCGGGCCUUGUACACACCGCCCGUCACACCACGAAAGCCCGUUGUACUCGAAGUCGCCGAGCUAACCCGCAAGGGAGGCAGGCGCCGAAAGGUAUGACUGGUGAUUGGGGUGAAGUCGUAACAAGGUAACC